GGGGAAGCUUUGGACUCGAAGUCUUGGAUCUGGUUUUCUUGGCAAUUUUGAAUACCAUGAAAACGAAGAGGAGGAAAGAUAAGAGCAGAGGAAUUGAAGGAAACUGGAGCUCCAUGGAUGUAGAAAAGUACUGCUGAAGAGGGAAAGUCGUCGGAGCCAGAAAGUUUACCGGAAAAGUCGCUGGUGCCGAGAAGUUUGCCGGAGAAGUCAUCGGCGCUGGAAACUUACUCCGGCUUUUAUUAUAGGAGAACGAUGAUUAUAAGGAAUGGGAAUCAAGUAAAGAUCAUGCUUUCUUCUUACAGUCAGACCGAAUCUCUCUUCCAUGUCUAGCUCUUCGUGUUUCAUUCCGUUGGGGAGUUUCCAAUCGAAGUGGUACAGCAACU